CUAACUCUGUAGAGUCCAAAAAUGGACUUCGGUGCAGAGUGACUGUGGUAACAUAGUCAAAGAAAAUCUCGCUAUAUGCUGGAAACUCUUUACAUCGGCCGCUCUAAGAUCUCCUUUAGUGGAGACACGGUGAAAGACAAUCAGCAGGAAACCCAAUCUAGUGAUUGGGGCUCCUCAGAGACUACACGCGAGACUCCCGAUCUAUAUCGGGAUGAUGAUAUAGUCCAAUCCUUAUGGUAACAUAAGG
rnacentral:ncRNA from 1 species